rnacentral:rRNA from 1 species
GACGAACGCUGGCGGCGUGCUUAACACAUGCAAGUCGAACGGAAAGGCCCUGCUGUUGUGGGGUGCUCGAGUGGCGAACGGGUGAGUAACACGUGAGUAACCUGCCCUUGACUUUGGGAUAACUUCAGGAAACUGGGGCUAAUACCGGAUAGGAGCUCCUGCUGCAUGGUGGGGGUUGGAAAGUUUCGGCGGUUGGGGAUGGACUCGCGGCUUAUCAUCUUGGUGGUGGGGUAGUGGCUUACCAAGGAUUUGAAGGGUAGCCGGCCUGAGAGGGUGAACGGCCACAUUGGGACUGAGAUACGGCCCAGACUCCUACGGGAGGCAGGAGUGGGGAAUAUUGCACGAUGGGCGGAAGCCUGAUGCAGCAACGCCGCGUGCGGGAUGACGGCCUUCGGGUUGUAUACCGCUUUCGCCUGUGACGAAGCGUGAGUGACAGUAAUGGGUGAAGAAGCACCGGCUAACUACGUG